rnacentral:rRNA from 1 species
CGCGUAGGCGGUAAUGUAAGUCAGACGUGAAAUCCUUCGGCUCAACUGAAGAACUGCGUCUGAAACUGCAUGACUAGAGUGCAGAAGAGGGAAACGGAAUUCCAGGUGUAGAGGUGAAAUUCGUAGAUAUCUGGAGGAACACCGGUGGCGAAGGCGGUUUCCUGGUCUGACACUGACGCUGAGGCGCGAAAGCGUGGGGAGCAAACAGGAUUAGAUACCCUGGUAGUCCACGCCGUAAACGGUGGGUACUGGGUGUGGGAGGUGUAAUGCCUUCUGUGCCGAAGCUAACGCGUUAAGUACCCCGCCUGGGGAGUACGGCCGCAAGGUUGAA